AAAGUCGUAACAAGGUUUUCCGUAGGUGAACCUGCGGAAGGAUCAUUACAAAUAAAGCUGGUAGGAAGUGGGGGUCUUGAUCUGUAAGUGGUAGAGCGAACAGUCCGGCUGCCUCCCGAAAUGUCUUACAUGUCCCCCCACAGCCUGAAGGCCGAAUUACAACCCUUGAUUAUCUACACUUGUUGCUUUUGGGGUGCUCAAGUAGCCCCAGAGGCCACCCGAACCCUCAUCUUUGCCAUUUUCAUGGCAUUUAGGAUCGGAUCCGUUCGAUGGUAAGUCAUAUCUAAUUAAAUUAAUUUUAAAAAUU
rnacentral:misc_RNA from 1 species